UACAGAGGUCUCAAGCGUUGUUCGGAGUUACUGGGCGUAAAGGGUGCGUAGGUGGCCGCGCAAGUCAGAUGUGAAAUCCGGGGGGCCCAACCCCCCGAACUGCAUCCGAAACUGCGUAGCUUGAGUGCUAUAGAGGGACUUGGAAUUUUUCGGUGUAGCAGUGAAAUGCGUAGAUAUCGAAAAAGAAGACCAGUGGCGAAGGCUGGGUCCUGGGUAGCAACUGACACUGAGGCACGAAGGCCAGGGGAGCAAACGGGG
rnacentral:rRNA from 1 species